rnacentral:tRNA from 1 species
AUUUAAAUAGUUUAAUUAGAAAAUAUUGAUUUGUGGAAUCAAAGUUAUAUAGAUAUAUUUUAAAUA